rnacentral:rRNA from 1 species
AUGCAAGUCGAACGGUAAGGCCCCUUCGGGGGUACACGAGUGGCGAACGGGUGAGUAACACGUGGGUAAUCUGCCCUGCACUUCGGGAUAAGCCUGGGAAACUGGGUCUAAUACCGGAUAUGAACUCCUGCCGCAUGGUGGGGGUUGGAAAGUUUUUCGGUGCAGGAUGAGCCCGCGGCCUAUCAGCUUGUUGGUGGGGUAAUGGCCUACCAAGGCGACGACGGGUAGCCGGCCUGAGAGGGUGAUCGGCCACACUGGGACUGAGACACGGCCCAGACUCCUACGGGAGGCAGCAGUGGGGAAUAUUGCACAAUGGGCGAAAGCCUGAUGCAGCGACGCCGCGUGGGGGAUGACGGUCUUCGGAUUGUAAACCCCUUUCAGUAGGGACGAAGCGCAAGUGACGGUACCUGCAGAAGAAGCACCGGCUAACUACGUGCCAGCAGCCGCGGUAAUACGUAGGGUGCGAGCGUUGUCCGGAAUUACUGGGCGUAAAGAGCUCGUAGGCGGUUUGUCACGUCGUCUGUGAAAUCCCUCGGCUUAACCGGGGGCGUGCAGGCGAUACGGGCAGACUUGAGUACUACAGGGGAGACUGGAAUUCCUGGUGUAGCGGUGAAAUGCGCAGAUAUCAGGAGGAACACCGGUGGCGAAGGCGGGUCUCUGGGUAGU